GAUUUCAAAACUACUCCACUGGCCGCUUUCUCCCAAGUCAGAAAUAGAAAACUGAAGUGCUCGGCAUAAACCAGGCUCCAGGUGCUUUCUGUGACACAUAUCAAAUUUUAUGGGCCUUAUCCUGCUGUCAUUCACAUGACAUAACUCAUUUUUGCCAUCCAAUGUACGUGACUGAGAAGAUUUGGCAGCUUAGAGAAAUAAAAUUCAACAUGGAAGAAAAGGGAGUGAAAUCUUGGUGCUGCUGGGAAUGUUACACGAUGCAUUGGCCUGGGCCUAAUCAAGUCCUCUUUGGGAUGGAAUAAAUCUGCUUUGGUUUCUCAGUUACGAAAGGACAGCAGCUAGGGAUGG